AACACCCGAAGCCGGUGGGGUAACCGUAAGGAGCCAGCCGUCUAAGGUGGGACAGAUGAUUGGGGUGAAGUCGUAACAAGGUAGCCGUAUCGGAAGGUGCGGCUGGAUCACCUCCUUU
rnacentral:rRNA from 1 species